UGGGGAAUCUUCCGCAAUGGACGAAAGUCUGACGGAGCAACGCCGCGUGAGUGAAGAAGGUCUUCGGAUUGUAAAGCUCUGUCGUUUGGGACGAACGUGGGAUGUGUGAAUAAUGCAUUCUAAUGACGGUACCAAAGGAGGAAGCCACGGCUAACUACGUGCCAGCAGCCGCGGUAAUACGUAGGUGGCAAGCGUUGUCCGGAAUUAUUGGGCGUAAAGGGCGUGUAGGUGGAUGUUUAAGUCGUGUGUCUAAGUGCGGGGCUCAACCCCGUAUAGGCGCAGGAAACUGGAGAUCUUGAGUGCAGGAGAGGAAAGUGGAAUUCCCAGUGUAGCGGUGAAAUGCGUAGAUAUUGGGAGGAACACCAGUGGCGAAGGCGACUUUCUGGACUGUGUCUGACACUGAGGCGCGAAAGCCAGGGGAGCGAACG
rnacentral:rRNA from 1 species